UGGUAGAGGCUUUGGUGGAGGUUCCAGGGGCUGUGGGGAGUGGCUUUGGCGGUGGUGCUGAAGGCGGAGAUGGGGGCCUCUUGUUUGCUGAUGAGAAGACCGCCGUGCAGGAACUUAAUAGCCGGCUGGCCCCCUACUUGCCUAAGGUGCAGACACUAGAGGAGGCCAAUGCCGACCUUUAGAGUAAGAUCUGGGACUGGUACAACAGGCAGGGGCCCGUCCAAAAGGAUUACGCUUGUUAUUAUGACCCCAUCCGGGAUCUCAAGAACCAGUUCCGUGGGUGCCCCCCUUGCCUGGUCGAUGGUCUAAAUUUUACAUGAGAGAAUUGGCAAGACUAUGAUUUCAACUGAUGCUGUGGUUUGGCAACUUGGAGAAGUCCCCCGCUCUCUGCAACUAGAGAACGUCCACACACAGCAACAAAGACCCAUCUCAGCCAAAAUUAAAUAAAUAAAUUUAUUUAAAAAAAAAAAAAGAAGAUGGGUGACUUCCCACACGCGGAUUCUUUCCCAGGACCUCAGAUUCCCUGCCUAAGGCCCUGGCUCAGUGCUGGCCAAUGGGAGGUGUGGGUAACUGAGCCGAUAGUGCAGGAAUGAGGGUAACAGCUGGAUGGUCUCCAAGAAUCCUCUUGGCUCCAGCAUCUGUUACUCCAACACUCAUAAGCCCCGAGUGCCUUGAUCUCCCUGCGUUUCCCUCCCCUUCGAGUCUCUGCUACAUGUCGAGGCUGCUGCUGGCCCUCUUGGCCUCGGGGCCCUGAGGCUCUCUCUCUGUCUCAGGCCCAAACAGGAAGAUAAUCAGCUCCCUUCUCUGUAACUCUUACUAGACUGAGAACCACUGGGACUGUCGGAGCGGGUUCCUGUGAAACCGAAAAUAAAGUUCAAGGGGACAAGCCACCAGCAUCAGCAACAAAUAAAACCCAGCAGCGACAGUACGGUGUGAGGUUAAAAGAUGGAAGGCCAGUGUUCUGGGCAGGGGCAACUGUCAAGGCCUGGAGGUGACACUGAGUGGGGCCUAAUGGAGGAACUGGAACCCGCUUCCUGGGGCUGCCCUGUGUGGGGGACAAAGCCCUAUUGGCCAAGAAGUGCGACCAUCUUUGGUCCGGAUGCAAUCCUCCUAGUAGAGAAUGAGUCUGGCAAGAAGACACAUGGUCUCCAAUCUGGUCGGAAGCUGCACUAGAGUUGGGAAGCAUCAUUUAUCAAACUCCCAGCACUUGCUUUCUCUGAGUAAACACCAUGGCUGAGUUGUAUCCACAGCUUUGGCUUCAAUAGCUCCCUGUGUGUGUGUGCCCAUGACACUUAUCACUGGUGAGGACCCUGCCCCCCAGCUUACAACUGUGCUUGAGUUGGGUCCCUUCCUCUCUCCAAAGUUAUGCUCCAUGGGUAA